ACAGACACAGACACAGACACAGACACAGACACAGACACACACACACACACACACACACACACACACACACACACACACACACACACACACACACACACACACACACACACACACACACACACACACACACACACAGAGAGAGAGUUGGAACAAUCACUCUCUCCUAUUUGAUGGACUCAGCCCCCCCUUCAACAGUAUUUGGCGUUGAACCGCCCUACCAGCCCGUACUGCAGCAGGCUGAAGACAGGCUCUCAAAGUCACUGGCAUCUGACAGAAAACCCUCCCAACCACACAAAGAAAGGAAGGAAGGAAGAAAACAAUAAGAAGACAGAUAAGAGCAAAAGCCAGAGUGUGACUUCAAAUCAAAGCAAGUGUGUUAAGUGAGACUUGUUCCAUACUGCCACAGCCAUGGCAGACAGUGUGAUUGAGGAGUCAGACUACUACCCUGGGAAGGAUGAAUUGGACUGGGGAUAUCAAGAAGUAGGUAAAGAACUUAAAGAAGGUGUAGAGUGGGGUUUGCUGUUCCCUGAUGCCAAUGGGGAGUACCAGUCACCCAUCAACCUGAACUCCCGGGAGGCGCGUUAUGACCCCUUGCUCCUGGACGUGGGGCUAACUCCCAACUACGUUGUGUGUCGGGACUGUGAGGUCAUCAACGAUGGACACACCGUACGCAUCAUGCUGAGGUCCAAAUCAGUGGUAACUGGUGGACCGUUGCAAAUUGAUCAUGAGUACGAGCUGCAUGAGGUGCGCUUCCACUGGGGCAAAGAGAACCAGCGGGGCUCAGAACACACAGUCAACUUUAAGGCCUUCCCCAUGGAGCUCCAUCUGAUCCACUGGAACACAACCUUGUUCAACAGUGUGGAGGAAGCCCUGGGUAAGAAGAACGGAGUUCUCAUCAUCGCUCUGUUUGUGCAGAUAGGGAAGGAGCAUCUGGGGUUGAAGGCCAUAACAGAAGUGCUGCAGGACCUACAAUACAAGGGGAAGACCAAGAUCAUACCGUGCUUCAAUCCCAACACACUACUUCCUGACCCUCUCCUGAGAGACUACUGGGUGUAUGAGGGCUCCCUGACCACCCCUCCAUGUAGUGAGAGCGUCACCUGGAUCCUGUACCGCUACCCACUUACCAUCUCACAGUUACAGAUAGAGGAGUUCAGGAGGCUCAGGUCCCAUCUGAAAGGUGCUGAUCUACCUGAGGGGAAUGACGGGAUGUUGGGAGACAACUUCCGCCCCUCUCAGCCCCUCAGCGACAGGACCGUCCGGGCUGCCUUCCAGUGACGCCCCCCUUCCCUCCACGGGGGAUCUUUAGUUCCACGUUUAACAGACAAGUGUGCUGGAGUCAGAGCAGAUCCCCACCAGCUGCAACCUGUUCCAUAAUCAAGACCUCUACAAAUACUCAACCCUGCCACUUCCACGCUGCCAGAUCGUAAACUCUGCUCAUUCUGCCCGCUGUGACUCUGGUCCCUGUCUCCAGUCCCACGUCUUGUCAUUCUACUACUCUGUCCUGGAUUCCCCACUCUACUACCCCCUUGGAAUCCCCGCCUGACCGGCUUACCCUGUCUCAACCCCUCUCGCUCCAGCCUCCGCACCCUCAUCUGGUUUCCAGCAACCCGCCCGAGCUUCCCAUGACCUGCACUCCAUCUCCCCCCUGUGUUUCAAUAAAUACCUUGGUUAUUUCAUCCCAGUCUCCUUGUCGGAGUCUGCUACUGGGUUUCACUCCGCGUAACAGGUAUAAGGAUUCAAAAGGAUUAUGUGACAUAAAGUGUGCCUGAAAAUGUAAUUUCUAGCUCUGUAACCAUCAUAGCGCAUAUACAGGAAACAGGAUAAUAGUUUGUGGAUUUAAGAGUGGAAAAUAUUAGUAUUAAUAUUGCACAAUGUCAAACAACUCUAACCCAAAACAUAGGACUUAUAAAAAUAACCCUUUGCUCCUCUACCCGCUACCUCUGUGGCCACACCCAGUCGUAGCGGCGACAUGAUUGCUGGAAUGUUCCAUCUGCAAAAUAUUCCCUUUUUUUAUUUUCAUAGUGAGAAAGAUAGUGAAAGGAGGGGAGAGAGAGAAUGGCCUUGUUGAAUCAGCUGGAAGUUAUGUUACAUUGAAUCCCCUGGACUGGUAGCUACAGAUUGUAACACCAGAUUUGGACCACUAUAUUGGUAGUUACAGAAGUGGCUGUAUAAAAUGUUGCUGGACAUUUUUCAACUAACCUGGUAUUUGCGAUACUAUCUUCGUCCUCGAAUCGUGGAAACCGGCGUUUCAUAAAAUGGCUGUGUCCAGUUUCAGGGAGUCAAUUUGAAAAAACGAUAAAAUGCUCUGUGAAAAUAAAUUAAUGUUUGUUUGCUCCAUGAAGUAAUCCAACAAUGUGUACACCACCAUCUUGUCUUUUUCAAAUCUUCUCUCAUUGAUUGAGACAGGGUGGUCUACCCUAAAGGGCCGCAUGCCAGGAUGACAGAAGCCUGUCUCGAUUAAUGAGAGAAGAUUUGUAAAAAGAUGACGGCACACGCAUUGUCGCCAAUACCAGGUUAGCUAAAAAAUGCCAACAUUUUGUAGAGCCACACCUGUAACUACCAGUAUAAUGGUUCACAUUUCUGUGGUUAAGUCACAUUAUCUGGUGUUACAAUUUAUAGCUACUGGACUUGGAGGGAGCUCACAAAGGCACGAUUUUACUCUGUUGAUUAAGGCAGCGCUGACAGACCAACCAGCUGGCUUCACCUGUGACCUGGAACAUAGCCAUUCGCUGUUGGCUGGUACAAGAUGUAUCCAUGCUCUGGAAGGAAAGACAUGAUUGGCUCUGAUCCAAUAUCCUCACUAACAGUAGUAUACUAGAUGGAAGCACUGGAUUGGGCAUGCAUUCUUACUGGUGUGAUAGUGGGGCUAUUGGUGGAAUGUAGUCCUUGUGAUAGGAUUUGUGCAGGCUUCAUGUAGGUAUGCAUACUUAGCUUGGGGCAUGUAAUUGUACUGUACUGUCAUGCAGGUUGUGUAAUAAGUAGAAAAAUGUGAAUUAACUAACACCUGUUCCUAGGGAUUUUCAAACUAUGGAAAAUAAAUGUACAGUACAUUACUUUUUUUUUUAAAUGCUGUUAAAACCACACUGUCUCUCAGAAUAGGAAACACUAACAAGCAGAAACAUAUGUAGUUCUGUAUAAUAUAAAUGGUCAAGUCAGGUUUAAUGACCUCAGGUCAGGUUUAAUGCCAUAUAAUCUCAGAUGUCUCAUAGGCUGAUAUUUGUUGAGAUAUUUCCGUCAGCUUCUGGCUCCUGUCCUCGCAGUAUUAAACGCAGUGUUUUUGUGCUUUUCGAUAUCUGCUUAUAGGAAGCAUGGCAAUAGACGAUUAGACCACAGGGUGCCCUUUCUUGUAAAAACAAAGGAGACAUCCAUCAAAGGUAAAUGACCUUUUAAGGGCUAUAGACAACACAGUACAGCCCAGGGUUAUAAGGCUAUGAAAAUGAAACAAUGAAGACUUGAAUUUUGUUGUGAUUUUUUUUUUUACAUUUUAAGGUUCUGUAGUUCUUGUACUGACUAAUGUGAUGAUGAUGAUGAUGAUAAAGAUGACUCUUUCUGAAAGAGAUCACUACCAUUUAA